AUUGUGAUGUGAAGCUGGAGAACUUGGCACUUACAGCCUCCCUGGGGUGGAACCUCCCGGCAGUUCUUG
rnacentral:lncRNA from 1 species